rnacentral:rRNA from 1 species
AUAAGAGGUCCCGCCUGCCCAGUGACAGUGGGUUGAACGGCCGCGGUAUUUUGACCGUGCAAAGGUAGCGCAAUCACUUGUCUUUUAAAUGAAGACCCGUAUGAAUGGCAUAACGAGGGCUUAACUGUCUCCUUUUUCAAGUCAAUGAAAUUGAUCUCCCCGUGCAGAAGCGGGGAUAAAACCAUAAGACGAGAAGACCCUAUGGAGCUUUAGACAAUAGAGCAGCCCUUGUUAAACACCCUACAACAGACAAAACCAAAAGGAGCCUGCCCCAAUGUCUUUGGUUGGGGCGACCGCGGGGAACAUAAAACCCCCAUGUGGAAUGGGAGCAUCUCCUACAACCAAGAGUUACAACUCUAAGCACUAGAACUUCUAACCAAAAGAUCCGGCAAAGCCGAUCAACGAACCGAGUUACCCUAGGGAUAACAGCGCAAUCCCCUUUAAGAGUCCAUAUCGACAAGGGGGUUUACGACCUCGAUGUUGGAUCAGGACAUCCUAAUGGUGCAGCCGCUAUUAAGGGUUCGUUUGUUCAACGAUUAAAGUCCUACGUGAUC